AUUUUCUUACGCUUGGCAGAUUUCUGUAGAUGUUAUCUUAGUAAGCAUAAUUCAACAACACUAUUCAUUUAAUAAAGAGAGUAAAAAUUGAAUAAAAAGAAUAGCUUAACAACAUAAUUCAAGGAAGACAAGAAAGGGGAAAAAAAUAUCAUAUAAAACCAUUUUAUCAGCAAGAUUUGUCAUAUAAACCAACCAAAAUUAAACAGAAAAGAAUAAGUUUGUGGGUAGGUAAUGGUUGGAUGGAUAAAAUACAAGGCAGAUGGAUUUCUCUGGUAGCCAUAAAUAACAAAUAAUUUUGAAUCUGAUCAGCAAGAUUGACUGAAGAAACAGAUUCAUUAAAACUUGUUAAAUUCCAGAUAAACCACUAAUGAUAAUUUUAUCAUUGAUAUAAACAUCAGUAUUCAGUAACCCCAAAGUGAAAAAUAUUAAUAAAAAUAGCACAUAUAAGCACUGCUUACCACAUCCUCUGGG
rnacentral:misc_RNA from 1 species